UACCGGUUUCCAUUCAGCUCCACUGUAAUCUUUUUUCCUUUUUUUUUUUUUUUGAGAAAAUCCGCUGUAAUCAUUCUUCAUUUUGCUGUACCAGCCUGAAAUUUAGCCAGAUUCAUCCGGGUGAAUGAAAUUCAUUUCGACUGAACCUAGAUGCUUCUUGCGGGAGAGAAUAAUUCAGGAAGAUCUGCUUGUAAUUGCUUACACCACAUUGUUGAUAUGCAGUAGUGUAAAAAAAAGAGGAAAUUGCAGUGAAGAAUCCGUAGAUGGGUAGGAAUAUUGGCUUAAAAGUCGACGCUUAGCUGGUAGCUUGUAGAAUUUGAAUAUCCCUUUUUCUUCUCCUGGACACUAAAAGUCCCUAAGGGGGUCAAGAGUUUUGGACACAGAGAAUUUAGUAGAAAAACAAAAGCUUAUUUGAAUUGGUGACUUCCUCAAACUUCAAAUGUUUGAUUUUAGCAUUUGUUUAACCAACAAAUUUAGAGCAGUGGAGAAGCAAGACUGAUAUGUAAUGCCUCCUAUACCUUAGUGCCUGCCAAAAGUUUUCCUGGUGUUUGUAUUUAAAGAAUUCGUUACUAGUUGCGUGACUCUGGUAACCAAUGCACCAAGUGAAUAAUGAGAAACAAGACUGAUAUGUAAUGCCUCCUAUACCUUAGUGCCUGCCAAAAGUUGUCCGGGUGUUUGUGUUUAAAGAAUUCGUUACUAGUUGCGUGACUCUGGUAACAAAUGCACCAAGUGAAUACACAUCAGGUGGGCUGAUCACCUUGCUACUAGGUGAACUGAACACCAACUCUUGGCGGAAUGAGCACCAGUGUUAGGGGAAUUAGCCACCCACGCCCAAACUGGUGAUUGUAUUACUUGUACCAAGUAGAUUGGACUUAAUUGGCGUCUAGUGAACUUGUCACCAGCGUCAGGUAAACUGCUUGGCCUUGUUAGCAUCAAGUAGACUGCCUUAUGUUAGGGUGGCAAUCCACCUAUGAUGGACUCACUCGUGCAAAGUAGAUUGGACUUGUUCACCAGCAUCAGGUAAAACAGCUUGACCUCUCCAGAAUCAGUUGGAUUGCUUGACAUCACCUGUGUGGUAGGGGAAUUGGCAGCCCGCACCUGAUGAACUGUCAUUUGCCAAGUAGAUUGGACUUGGUCACCAGCAUCAGGUGAAUUGUUUGACCCCUCCAAAUGUCAGCUGGAUUGAUUGAUCUCACCUGCGUUUGGGGAAUUGCAAUGCAUGCUUGAUGGAGUGCCAAUUGUGCCAGUACUGAUAGUACUUUGUCACCAGCAUCAACUGAACCGGUCACCAGCAUCGGGUGAACAGUUCGUCCUUGCCAGCGUCUAUUGGACAACUUGGCCUGUUAGCGGAAUUGGCAACCUACACCUAAUGGGCUGUUACUUGUGCCCCGUAGAUUUGACUUGGUCACCAGUGUUAGGGUGGACUGUUUGUCCUCACUAUAAAAAAUAUGCACUCGCAUAAAUUAUGUAUUUAUAGAUACAACAACGUGUUUUUACCGGGUUGAGCACUAUGCAAAUUAACUUGUUAUUCUUUACUA